rnacentral:lncRNA from 1 species
AUCGCGAGAUCUAAGUAUGGCCCCAGCGACCAUGGCCCAAUCUCGCGCAAUGAUUGCGCCACAGAUAUUCCCAUCCCCCACACAGAGAGGCGCCUUUGACUCCCCCCUCCAGAUAGGCGUCCAUAUCUCGCGAGAUCGCGCAAGUUGCUAGAGCAAAGACAGUUGGUACAGUUCCUGUCAAUCUUUCAGGAAACUCAACGCUGAGUGGAGGUCGGUGGUCACCACCUCCUCGUGGCGCCUUCUCAUAGCUAUCUGAAGGUUUCCCCCUCAGAACGGACCACCCAUCCACCCACUGGGCCACCUACCCAGUUGUCUGUCAAGGUCGCCAUAAGACAGUCUAAUCCAUAUGGCGAAAGAAUAAAAGGAAAACGGUCAUGUGCAGAUCAUCCGGGAAGGAUGAAGACGAAGUGAAAGCAUCUGCUUCAACACUGUGUGACCUUGGACAAGUAAAUCAACCUCUCACUGCCUAUCCUGCAUUUCCUCCUAUGAAGAAGAGGUAUACUGACUUGUUAAUUUUGCAAAUAUCACAGCAUCAAGGUGGCCCCUUCUUAAUUUUUUGUUUCUGUGGUAACGUAGUGCUGAAGUUGAUCUUACCCUCUGGACUUAUUUGGGAAGAAGAAGUUUCUAAGCUCCAAGUCACUUGAAGAUUGAAUAUUCCUUAAAUUGUUUUCUGUUCAAGGACCAUCAGAGUGAACCUAGCAAUUUAGCGCACAAUCAAGAAACACCACCUGGAAAACUCAUUAUGUAAAGCAAAAGUAUUUUUUAUGUUUAAAAGAAAAUAUUAAAAAUAUGCUUUUCAUUCACUUUGCAAAACCUUUCUCAGUCUGUCUGGCUCUUGGACUUUCCGUGUAAAUUAAUUCCCCUUUCAUCAUUUCAUUCUGAAGUCUCGUUUGCAGCAAAAAGUCAUUGGAUUGAAUCAUCACCAGCAAUUGUUCUAACUUAUAACAUAGGAGGCCAUAAUAUAACCAAGGGCCUGCGAUAGAGGAGGUAAUACUUGUUAUGCUUAUUCACCUGAAAAUUAUAUAUAUUUUGCCAACGUGAA